AUUGAACGCUGGCGGUAUGCUUAACACAUGCAAGUCGAACGGGGGUAGCAAUACCUUAGUGGCGGACGGGUGAGUAAUACAUAGGAAUCUGCCUUGUAGUGGGGGACAACUUGGGGAAACUCAAGCUAAUACCGCACACGACCUACGGGUGAAAGGGGGCUUCGGCUCUCGCUAUAAGAUGAGCCUAUGUCUGAUUAGCUAGUUGGUGGGGUAAAGGCCUACCAAGGCGACGAUCAGUAGCUGGUCUGAGAGGACGACCAGCCACACUGGGACUGAGACACGGCCCAGACUCCUACGGGAGGCAGCAGUGGGGAAUAUUGGACAAUGGGCGCAAGCCUGAUCCAGCAAUACCGCGUGUGUGAAGAAGGCCUGCGGGUUGUAAAGCACUUUAAGUUGGGAAGAAAAGCUAUGUGUUAAUACCACAUAGUGUUGACGUUACCAACAGAAUAAGCACCGGCUAACUCUGUG
rnacentral:rRNA from 1 species